AGCUCCUUAGUGCUCCUUUGUAUCUACUAGGUGAGAUGCUGCCUCAUUCAUGAAUCACUGAAUAAAGCCAAUAACAUCUUUAAAAUUUACUCAGAUGGGUUUUGUUUUUUAACACCACCACUAACCUUUGAAUGAGAGAAACUUCUGCUGAUGUCAAAUGACCACAAGGAUAUUAACAACUGGACUUGGAGCCUGUCGGCCGCUGUUGGGUCAUGAAAGAAACUGAAAAACUUUUGGGUCUGAGGAAGAAGGCAGCAGGCACCAUGUCUGGCCACAAAGGCUGCAAAAAGCCCUGAAGCAGCCCAAGAAGUAGGCCAAGGAGAUGGAUGAGGAAGGGGCAUUCAAGCUGAAACAUAAAGAAGAGCAGAAAAAUACUUGAGCAGCUAAAAGUGAAGACUGUGGGGAAGGGCCCCCUGGGCCUAGGUGGAAUUAAGAAACUGGCCAAAAGAUGCUGUUUCUCCUGCCUGAUGCAAUGGUGAAUCUUAAUUCCAUUUCUGUUUAAACAUCUGGAUUCCCUGCCAUAACAUCUGUUAUCACUUAUUGCUAGAAUAAAGUGUUGUCUUGGAUCCUAUUGAAC